AGACUACCUGCCACAGUGUAACGCGCGAUGUUAAGAAAAAUAUGACUCAGUUGCACCGGCGUAUAGUACGCAACGCAUAGUCAAUUCCUUUUGAUGUUAAAUUAAUUUCAAAGAGCUUCCGUUUGUGUCGAUAUCGAGGCUUAGUUGGCAGGUCGAGGAUGAUGAUCUUUUUUAAUUGAAAGCGAAUCGAUGCCCACCAGAAGUUUCGUAGAAUUGCUUCUGCCUUAUUGGCAGCGGAUGUGAAUGCUUAAAUACCUCAUACGUGUACAAAAGUUGUUAAGUAAAACAAAGCCAAACUAGUUUGUCUAAAAAUUACGUGCUGUACCCAUGACAAAGUGGAAAAAGGAUAUAUCAGGUAUGGAUAAAGAUGGGUAUAACGAAAAUUGUCUCCUACAGUAAGAGUUAUUUGACUUUAUAAAAAUUACAUGAAAUUGAGAACU